rnacentral:misc_RNA from 1 species
GAUGAAGAACGUAGCGAAAUGCGAUAAGUAAUGUGAAUUGCAGAAUUCAGUGAAUCAUCGAAUCUUUGGACGCACAUUGCGCCCGCCAGUAUUCUGGCGGGCAUGCCUGUUCGAGCGUCAUUUCAACCCUCAAGCACAGCUUGGUGUUGGGACUCGCGUUAAUUCGCGUUCCUCAAAUUGAUUGGCGGUCACGUCGAGCUUCCAUAGCGUAGUAGUAAAACCCUCGUUACUGGUAAUCGUCGCGGCCACGCCGUUAAACCCCAACUUCUGAAUGUUGACCUCGGAUCAGGUAGGAAUACCCGCUGAACUUAAGCAUAUCAAUAAGCGGAGGA